rnacentral:rRNA from 1 species
UGGGGAAUAUUGGACAAUGGGCGAAAGCCUGAUCCAGCCAUGCCGCGUGUGUGAAGAAGGUCUUCGGAUUGUAAAGCACUUUAAGUUGGGAGGAAGGGCAGUAAGCGAAUACCUUGCUGUUUUGACGUUACCGACAGAAUAAGCACCGGCUAACUCUGUGCCAGCAGCCGCGGUAAUACAGAGGGUGCAAGCGUUAAUCGGAAUUACUGGGCGUAAAGCGCGCGUAGGUGGUUCGUUAAGUUGAAUGUGAAAGCCCCGGGCUCAACCUGGGAACUGCAUCCACAACUGGCGAGCUAGAGUAGGGCAGAGGGUGGUGGAAUUUCCUGUGUAGCGGUGAAAUGCGUAGAUAUAGGAGGGAACGCCAGUGGCGAAGGCGACCACCUUGGCUCAUACUGACACUGAGGUGCGAAAGCGUGGGGAGCAAACAGG